ACCCAGCUGACGAGUCUCAAAUAGGACAAAACGCACGUCAAACUGGAU
rnacentral:hammerhead_ribozyme from 1 species